CCGGAGCUAGCGACUCGCGCUUUGCAGCCCUUCCUCUUCCCUGCAAACCUCGGCAGUCUACCAGCCGAGCCCCAGCGUGCGGCUUCGGGACGUGUGAGCUCCUGGAGCAAGAGGAUCGGGUGACCGAAGGCUCGUUCCUUUAUCGUGGCUCCGGGCGACUUGGUGGCGGGCGAUCAAGCCUACUAUCUUUGACCCUUGACUUCCAGGAUUCACCUUGAGCGGGACAGAGGCACGUGGACCACUGGGUAUUUUAAGUGUUAAGGACGAAGCAGGUGUUCAGGGCACAGGGCUAGAGGCCAGAGGCCGCCGACCCAGAUCUCCAGCAACUCAGUAACAUGAAGCAGGCACCGUCCUCGGAGUUCCUUGUGAGAAUUCAACGAGGCGACUGUGUAAAGUUUUGACGCUGUGUGGCCCCUUAGGAAGAAAGAGAAAUUACUGACUCUCUGCCAAGGAUUCUGUCUUGCAUAAAUAGCCCUUUGUUUUAUGGAAACAUUAAUGAGUCUUUGGCUAUGCAAAGCAAAGUGACUUCAGUGGACCGCGAACUAAUAACCAUAUGAGAGAGGAAGUGAAAACAAAGGGAGAACAGAAAUGUCGUGGGACUGUACUACAAACUGCCCAGCUGGAAAUAGUACACAAACUAGCGUGUGCAGGCCUGCUGAUGACACCCUGAGAGUCUACGGAAGGAUUUGAUCUAGUAGGAGGCUUUCCAAUAUUGGAAGUUCACAGCAGUGUUAUUCUGACAUCUUCUAGCUCUUUCUACCUCACUUAAGGUUUGGAAGUUUGGUGCAACUUCUUCACAGUGCUUGCUUCGUCCACCCCAGGGGUUUUAUAAAUCACCUCAUAAAAACUCAUUUACUGGUUUCCCCCAACAUAAUGGCAGAAAUAAACUUCUUG